rnacentral:rRNA from 1 species
GACGAACGCUGGCGGCGUGCCUAAUACAUGCAAGUUGAGCGCUGAAGGUUGGUACUUGUACCAACUGGAUGAGCAGCGAACGGGUGAGUAACGCGUGGGGAAUCUGCCUUUGAGCGGGGGACAACAUUUGGAAACGAAUGCUAAUACCGCAUAAAAACUUUAAACACAAGUUUUUAGUUUGAAAGAUGCAAUUGCAUCACUCAAAGAUGAUCUCGCGUUGUAUUAGCUAGUUGGGGAGGUAAAGGCUCACCAAGGCGAGGAUACAUAGCCGACCUGAGAGGGCGAGCGGCCACAUUGGGACUGAGACACGGCACAAACUCCUACGGGAAGCAGCAGGAGGGAAACUUCGGCAAUGGACGAAAGUCUGACCGAGCAACGCCGCGGGAGGGAAGAAGGUUUUCGGAUCGUAAAACUCUGUUGGUAGAGAAGAACGUUGGUGAGGGUGGAAAGCUCAUCAAGUGACGGUAACUACCCAGAAAGCGACGGCUAACUACGUG